AUUGAACGCUGGCGGCAGGCCUAACACAUGCAAGUCGAGCGGCAGCGGGAAGUAGCUUGCUACUUUGCCGGCGAGCGGCGGACGGGUGAGUAAUGUCUGGGAAACUGCCUGAUGGAGGGGGAUAACUACUGGAAACGGUAGCUAAUACCGCAUAAUGUCGCAAGACCAAAGAGGGGGACCUUCGGGCCUCUUGCCAUCAGAUGUGCCCAGAUGGGGUUAGCUAGUAGGUGGGGUAACGGCUCACCUAGGCGACGAUCCCUAGCUGGUCUGAGAGGAUGACCAGCCACACUGGAACUGAGACACGGUCCAGACUCCUACGGGAGGCAGCAGUGGGGAAUAUUGCACAAUGGGCGCAAGCCUGAUGCAGCCAUGCCGCGUGUAUGAAGAAGGCCUUCGGGUUGUAAAGUACUUUCAGCGGGGAGGAAGGUGUUGAGGUUAAUAACCUCAGCAAUUGACGUUACCCGCAGAAGAAGCACCGGCUAACUCCGUGCCAGCAGCCGCAGUAA
rnacentral:rRNA from 1 species